rnacentral:lncRNA from 1 species
GCCGUUCUCAAAGACCUGUCAGAUGGCUCUUAUUCCUAACUAUGGUGAUCUCUUACGUGCUAUAAAAUGACAAUAUUCAAAAAAGUCAAAAGGCCAAGCACAGCGCUGCUCAGAGACAUAAUUAGAGGUAAAAAAAGAUUUUUUACGGCAUCCUUCUUCUCCUCAAAGCUCCAAUUUCACCUAUAAAAGGUAAUUUAGGGA